CCCAUAGAGAUGGUGGCAUCUGGUCCUAGGGAGGCAAAGGUCUCCAGCUCAUUCUCCCUCACUUGUACUGURAUGGGAACACCUCUGGAUAGCCCUCGAUAUGACUGGAAUUGUGUUCGYCAGACCCCAGGAGGGCAGCUGCAAUUUGUAGGCUGGAUAUAUCCUUUUGGGAAUAACACAGGCUAUGCUCCAGCCUUCCAAGACCGAGUCACCUUUUCUGCAGACAAACGCAAAAGCAAGGUCUCCCUGCAGCUGCAUGGYCUUACAGCCUUGGACACAGCCAUCUAUUAUUGUGCCAGGCAGCAUGGACUAUGUGCCAACACCGUGGCAACAGACAAGCUYGUAUUUGGAACUGGAGCCACUCUUUCAAUUGAGCCAAAGAGUCAAGAAGAGUCUGCCCCAGAGCUCAUUGUGGUCAAAUCAGAGGAGCCUAARCAAGACAAAAAACUGAACAUGGCUUGUUUGGCAAGGACCUUCUAUCCUAAGAACAUCAGCCUUUCUGUGCCCAUGAGUGAUGUUUUGUAUGACCUGAAGGCACCUCUUGUCACAUCUGAGGGGGUGUACAGUACCAUGAAGGUUGUUGGUGUGGAGCAAGGUGCAGACAGGACCUGCAAGGCUACGCACAAGGGAAGGGAGAGCAARGCCACCAUAAUUCUGCCAGAAGAGAAAACUGAAGAAUUCAAAGCAGUUAAUAUUUGCGACAUUUCGGAUGCUUCUAAAAAAGCAAAUGUCAAAAUGGAGAAAAUGAAUAUGCUGUCUAUGGCUGUUUUGGGUUUGAGAGUCCUGCUGGCAAAAAGCAUCGCCUUCAAUGUACUCAUGAGUAUCAAGCUGUUACUAUUCUGA